CUUCGCUUGGGUUUUGUUCCAAUUGGGUUUUCUCAAGGAGGUUUUUAACGAGGCGAUGAAGAGGACACUUUAGGUUGAAGUGCGGACAGACGGAUGCACAGGAUGGCUAGUUAAUUGCUCGACUUCUCCAGCUCAACUAAUGAAGGGACCAAAUAGAUUGGAACUAGGACUGGAACGCCAGCAAACGCCUGAAAAAUAUGUAAAUUUCUCCUAAAUAUGUAAUUUUCUCCAAGUGUAUGAACAAAGAACAAAUACACGAAGUUCAUUUCUAUUGCUCCAAAUGUAUAACCAAGGCAAUGUCGCAUAAAAGUUCACAACACCGACAAAUGACGCACCAAAAGGCAUACCUAAUCGGCCCACGGCCAUAACUAAAUAUAGGUUAUAUUCGACCUCAUUUGAAUCGAUACCUAAUUGGCCCACGGCCACAACUAAGUAUAGGUUAUAUUCGACCUAGUUUGAAUCAACACCUAAUAGGCCUAUGGCCACAACUAAGUAUAGGUUAUAUUUGACCUAGUUCGAAUUAACACCUAAUCGGCCCACAACCACAACUAAGUACAGGUUAUAUUCGACCUAGUUCAAAUCAACAACUAAUCGGCCCACGACCCUAAUUAAGUGUUGGUUGUACUCGACCUCAUUCGAAUCAACACCUAGUCGGCCCACGGCCCUAAUUAAGCAUUGGUUAUACUCGAUCUUGUUCGAAUCAACAAGUAAUCGGGCCUCAGCCAUAGAUAAACAUACAAUACAUUCGACCACAUUCAAACUAACAUCCACUGACCCUCAGCCAUGAUCAAACCAAGGUUUUGUUUCAACCUCGUUCAACCCACUUGAGCUAAGUUAUUACGACUAAGGCAACCAAGCAACAAAAUCAACAAACAUACAAGCUUGAAUAGAAGAAAAAAGAAUCAGGUACGAGUAACACAACUAGUAUUUCAUACUUAGAAUAUUUUUUUACAAAGACUCGAAAAGAUGCCCACAAAAAAAAUGCACAAGUCUGCGGCUAAACAAAAAAAAAGAAAGAAAAAACUAAUAAUCGUUGCCUAGCCUAUCAGCAUCAUCAACUUGAUCACCUAAGCCAUCUUCAUCUGCCCCUUCGCCCUCACUAUCGCCAUCAGGUUACUCAUCCUCAUACUAGGCAUCCUCUUCAAUCUGAUCCACACUCACAUCCUCCUCAUCAUCACCGGCCUUCGGUAUAGCGGGAUCGUAGCCACAAGCAACCCGAGCCCUACAUGACUUAACACGAGCAUCCUCGAAGACGACCUCUGAAAUAGUUCCCACACUCAUUAGGUCUCUUAAUAUAUCUAGCUGGGCCUCGGCAUGAAUCCACUCCUCAUAUAUAUCUCGGGGAACAUUAGGAAAACCAGACCCACGAGAAAACGAUGACCGAACUAAUAAUUGGGCUUUCUCGGCUUCAAGAACGGUGACUCGAUCAAAAAAUCCAGAAGCCUCUUUUGCCAAUUUGCCAAUCCUUUCAUUAAGCCGCUUCUCCUUGAGCCUCACCAUCUCCAAGGCGUUUUCCCUCUCGGAACGCAGAACACGGACCAUGAUCUCCAAAGCCUUCGCCUUCCUUAUAGCCCCCAAUCGAGCUAACUCCGCCUUUUCAUGAUCUUCUGCCUUUUUAGCGACCUUGCUGAUUAAAGCAUUCAAUUUUAAUUGACAUUCUUCAAGCUCGGCACGCAGUGAGACCACCUGGGGUUGGAGAUUGCCGCAUUGAGCUUCCAAGACCUUGCUGACCUUGAGCUCUUCUUCUUUGGUUCUCAACGUUCCCUCAAGAAUGCUGCAUUUUUUGAUGACCCUCAUCAGCUCGUCAUCUUUCUCCUUCAAUUCGUUUUGAAGAGCCUAAAAUUGUUGUUAACCGCCUACAAAUCUCGUGGUGCUUGCCACAGUACUUACGGUAUUUUUUCUCCAUCUUCAGAAAAGGGCCUUACGCUUCUCCUCUCUCUGGGCACUCUUAAUUUCCAAAACCACAGUCUACAUAAAAAUAUAGAAAGAAGAAAACAAAAAGUAAGAACGGAGCACAAAAAUGUUGAACUUGAGAAACAAAAGACAAAACGCUUACUCUAAGAGCAAGGACGACUAUGCUCCUUGAUAGGGUAGAAUCAUCCAAUUUUUCAAGGGUUUUACCCUCCACUUCAGAAGAGGGGACCUAGUGAAGGAACCACGUUCUCCGUAUUCACCAACAAAUCUCGAUCCAUGGAGAUCGCAAUGGUCCGCGUGGCCUUUCUAGUCUCUCUUCAAGCCGGGUAAACCCUUCCCCCAUCAUCCUCAUCUCCUUGGUGUCAAGAUCACAACCCGUCUUAUGCCCAUCCUUAGCAACGCCUUUACCUAUCACGUUGACUGGAGAAGAAGGACCAUCAGCUGGUCGCGAGGUAGUUGGCUCAUCUUGCCGUAAAGUAUCAGAAACCCUCGCAGUAGAAACCCUCGCAGACGGUGUCUCGAUUUCUGUCGUGGCAUCAGGAAAAGGCACACCCUCUACGGCCUCAACCAAGGGCGGAAUCUCAAAUGACAACUCGACAUCAUCCUCAAGCACUAUGGUCGUUGUCUCACGUAUGACGUAAUCACCAUGGUUAAACCUAUAGCUCGGGUAACCCUAUCGCUACCUUCCAUCGGCCUUCUUUUACGGGGAACCAAAUCCUCGCUGCCCAGCGAUGACUCCCCUUAUUUGUCUACAAGACGAUAAGUACCCGCAGGUGGAGAAGAAACCGAUGCAGAGGCAGCAUCAGAUGGGGUCGACAACCGAGUGGACCUGGCCGCAGUUGACGUAGGAACACAAGGAGAUUCUCGAGCUGACUUAGCUGCAACCACAAUAGGAACAGAUUCCAAAGGAGAAGCAGCCUUCCUCUUAGGAAAAUUUACCUUUUCAUCAACAUUCUUGCUUACAUUAUUCCAUACUUUUUCAUCAGAUUUGAGAAUAGUCUGAAUAUUCUAUGAUUUAUCUGUCACUCAUCAUUGUUAGGGGGAACACUCAUCUAGCUCAUGCAUUGUUGGGUGAAAAAUUAAUCUUAUUUACUUAAAUGUUAUUUGUUGUUAUUUAUUGCUAGUCACUCCUUUAUUAUUUCUCACUUUCUUUGGAUAUUCAUUGAUUGUUAUUAUUAAUUCUUUUCCAUAUCUGUCUACACGUUAAUCACUUCUUCGGAGUUUGCAUCUGGGAAAAUUAUUGUUAACUAAGUUUAAUCCUUCAAUAAACAAGUAUAAUUAUUUUAAUCGGAAGGUAACACUUUUUUGGUCAAACAGUUUGGUUAUUAGUUAUCCCAUAUAGUUGUCCCACUUUUUAUAUGGGAUAGUUACAUUAUUUUAGUAUAAAAUAAUUCAUGGGACUAAUUAAUGCCAAUAAGCAAAUUCGAGAUAAAAUAAUAUUGCAUUUUAUCCCAAAAUUGUUAUCUCUUAUCCUACCUGCCAAGCGUCUCCUUAAAGUGUAAUGAAAAUCCCCUUCACCAUAUUUCACUUGAGGGACUACUUGCAAAAGUUUGUUUCCGCAAAAAUAGAAGUGCAUAAAUUUGUUCUCAUUUGGCGACAAUCUUAUGAUUUCUAUAAAACUAUCUAUUUUAAUGAGGUGAUUAUGCAAUGAUUAAACUUGUAUAUGUAUAGGCCAAAAUCUGCCUUAAGGGAAUUUAGUGUAAAGCGACAUUAAGAAAAAGAUGCAGUCGAGGUCGACCAGGAAGCAGUGGGAUUCGUGGCCGGGCUGUCAACAACGAUCGAGGUCGAGCACCAAGGACAGAACAAUAACGACUAGUUUUUGUAAUCAGAUAUUAAAGAGAAUAUUCUAUUGAAUAUUCUCUGCACUUGUACUAUUAGGGUUUUUUAGGGACAUGUCUCAUAGAAAAAGAGAUAAUUGGGGAAGGCAUGUAACAUUGACUUGAUAAGAACACUUUUCAGAAGAAGAUUCUCUCUCUCUAGCAAAGAUACAAGCUUUACCUUUUACAAUAUUCUUACACACAUUAUCCCAUACCUUUCCAUCAGAUCCGAGAAUAGUUUGAAUAUUUGAAAAUUUGUUUGUCAUUCAUCAUUGUCAGAAGGAACAAUCAUCCAUUUCAUUCAUUAUUGGGUGAAUCGUUCCCCCUAUUUACGUAAAUGCCAUUUAUUAUUAAUUAUUCCCCCAUUGUUAUCCAUAUCUUUUGGAGUAUUAAAUGUGUUUGAUUUUCAAUCUCUCACCGAUUUUAUCCAAUAUCAUCUAAACUGUCAUGUUCUAUAUCUAGAGAUAUUAUUAUUAACUAAGUUUAACCCUUCAUUACAUAAAAUUUAAUAGUUUAACUGAAAGUUUAUAUUUUUUGGUCAAAAAAUUUGGUGCCGUCUGUGAGGAUUUUCUAGUUAAAUAUUUAGUUUCCUCUAGAUCUACAACUAGCAUGGAUUGCUAACAAAAAAAAAAGAACAAAAUUCCUUUUCCUUAUACGCACAGAUCCGAUAUGGCAGGUAAUGGAGAAGAAAGAAAGAGGGUAAUAGGGACCUCACAACCAACCUCUUGAACACAAUCAAUGAGGUUUCUGAAAUAGAAGGUGAGGAUAUAACGCCUAAUGCCUCUCCCAGGCGAGGCACGCCACCUCAUUCUCAAGGUAGUAUCGCAACGUCUCGCGGUAAAUGAGCUUCCAUGUCCGGAUGGAAGAGGCGCCACCAACAGUAAAAAACCUCCUCGAGUCUUGGCUAACUGACAUGCUAACCAGCAUCCUCCACAAGCCCGCUCAAGAUACAGUUAUAGAAAAUGCAAGGACUUGCACUUCAUGAAUAACGGUCGAGCAACGUGGCCCGUUCCCUCCUCCAAUGAUAGGUAUUACUCAUAACACUAUUAAUAGUGUUGGUGACGACACCCUCACAUCCAUUUUGAAAAAGAUGGCGGAAAUGGAGAACGAGAACAAAGUGCUUCGGGACCAAAUGAGAGAACACCAAGAAGGGUUGAUAAAAUAUCGAGUUCCCCAAAGCUCUUGCCAAAGAGAGAUGUUGGUCGGUUUGUCGAUCAACCAUACAGUGAUGAAGCCGCCCCGCAUGCCAUACCGAAGACCUUCAAAAUGCCGACCUACCUAAAAAUAUAUGAUGGUACGACCAAUCCCGAAGAUCAUGUAACUCACUAUGUCACCGCCGUGAAAGGCAACGACCCCGCCAAGGAACAAGUAACCUCCAUUUUGAUGAAAAAAUUCGACGAGACCCUCACUGGAGGAGCAUUAACAUGGUAUUCUCAGCUGCCCAUGCGUUCCAUUGAAACAUUCGAAGCGAUGGCUGAUAAGUUCGUAAUGGCCCACGUCGGGGCCAAAAAGACAGAGGCAAGAGUGAACGAUAUAUUUGCUAUCAAAUAAUCACUGAGAGAAGGAUUGAGGGACUUCCUUGCCCGAUUCAACCGAGUAAGAAUGAACUUACCAAAUGUAUCGAAAGGAAUGGCCAUCGCAGCUUUCCAGAACGGGCUAAGCAGAAAUGGUUCAAGGGCGACAGGAAAGUUGUUAAGUCGGCUUAUUAAGUAUCUCCCAACUACUUGGGAUAAAAUACACAAUGCCUAUUGUGCCGAGGUUAGAGUAGAUGAGGACGACCUCAAUAGGCCGACUUACCGAUUGACCUCGAUACAAGCAGAGUCCAUAAAAGAUUAAAGAAACGAUGCCAGAAGGGACCUCGUAGCUCCACAACCCAAUCGGAAAUGAAAUAUACCAUAUGUCAGAAGCGCCAUUGUACCCCCUUCCCACUGCGAAGAGCGCCCACCUAGACCAAGGACAGGGACUUACCAGAAUGAGGGAGGUAUGCCCCCUUUGUUAUCCGCUCACAAUUUAUGUGUGUCACCUUCAGAAAUGGUCUACGCAUUGGAGAAACUCGGAUCAAAGGUAAUGGCCACAAAAAAUGAGGUCAGAUCCACGCACCAGAAAGUCAGACACCCUUUGCAAGUUCCACCAAGAACGAGGGCACAAAACUGAGGACUGCAUCGCCCUAAAAUAGGAGGUCAUAAACAUGCUUCGACAAGGACACCUUAAGGAAUUGCUGAGCAACCGGGGAAGUGCCAAAUUUUCCAUAGGAUGCGAACAACAUCAAGGACCACCGAAACCGCCCUCACGAACCCGCACCAUCCAAAUGAACAUCGGUGGCGGCGACAAUGCUACUAUCAAACGUGUAAAGUUCACCACAACCCAUAAGCUCAAACUGUCGAUCACUCACGAACGGUAUGACGAACUCGAAGAAAGUACCAUCUUUGAUAAGUCAGAUAGAUACCUACUGUUUGGUUUUCCUUUACUAUGAUGCCCUUGUUCUCACUUUACGAAUUUUAGAUACAGAUGUGAGAUGCAUUAUGGUAGACGAUGGGAGCGGCGCGUGCAUUAUCCACCCUCGGGUACUUGCACAAAUGAAAGUCGAGGAUAAGAUAGUGUCGUGUUGUAUCAUACUAAUGUCACACCUCCUUUUUACCACCCCGAGGAAGGGGCAUCUUGGAGUUUUUUCCAAUUUAAGUAACAAUCGAAACGGAAUUAUUUUUAUAUAAAAUCAGAGUCGCCACUUGGGAUAAUUUAUGGUGUCCCAAGUCACCGGUUCAAAUCCCGAAUCUAGGAAAGAUUGACUCUAUUUUAUAGUCCGCGAAACACAGAAAUUCAGGUAAGGAAUUCUGUUAAUCCGGGAGAAGGUGUUAGGCAUUCCCGAGUUCUGUGGUUCUAGCACGGUCGCUCAACUGUUAUUAUUGGCCUAUUUAUUUGAUUUUAAAACACCUUUGAAACCUAUGUGCAUUUUUAUUCCUUCUAAACCGCUUUUAAUAAUCCAAUUGUCAUACAGCUAAUUAUUUAAUUACUCGUUGCAAAUCAUGUCACGAGAGUCGUACCCACGAUCGACAAUAUGUUCAUUUUAUUAACAAGAUUAAAUUAUAACCGGGUAACAUAAAUGUACCCCCGGAUUUAGAAAUUAGGCAAUCACAACUACGUCACGGGAACCGUACCCGUAGCUAUGACAAUUUAUUUACAUAAACGUGCCUAAAGCAAACUACGAACGUUCAAGGCAUUUUAUACACGAGUUAAGAUAAUUAAUAUGAGGGCCAUAGAUUAUGUGAUUCAAUUGUAUGAAUGGCACGCCUCAGUUUUAUUAAAAGGAAAGCUAUUCCUAACAAUCUAAGCACGUCGUAGGCAUGAAUCAAUAACUCAAAGAAUUAUAUUCCAAAUUGAAGUAUGAUUGAAAUUAUCCUCCCGCUGACAUGAAAACUUAUUUAUUUUAUACCUUUUUUUAUUCCCAAUCCCACCCAAAAUUCCAAGUACUCAAACUUAUAUUUUUUUUCAAAAACUCACGCCACUACUAAAUAACUCAUUCAUAUAUUUAUGUAUCUAGUUAAAAUAAACGAAAAUCCUAUUGUAUUAACUUAAACCAUUUACCAUACUCAAAAAUAUUAAAUUAACGAGUACAAUAAGAUAAGAUAGCCCUUCAGGCGUGAAAAACAUGUUCAAGCAUUAAAAGCAAACUUAAAUCUAACAUGGAAUCAUCGUUCACAAAAGCAUAGAAGAAACAAAGAUGAAGGGUAGACCUCAAAUGAAGGAUCUGACUUUUAUUAUUGUGAAACUCAACAACGAGCCGAACCGCGACAGAAUUCAACAACGGACCUCGAAUCAGCACCUCGGAUCUACUAACGGAAAGCUCGUCGGCAAGACUCGAAUACGUGGUGGAGUUAUGGGGCUGGAUUUUGGUGGAGGUUUGUGUUGAUUAUAUGUGGCUGACAGUGAUGCUUUUCUUACGAUGGGUUUGUGAUUGUUUGGCCAGAGAUUUGCAGCUGCAUUUCAUUGAGCUUUUCUUACGAUGGGUUUGUGAUGCUUUUAAAUGCUUUUCACUGAGCUUUUUAUUGAGCUUUUAAGAGCUUCGUACAUGGAGUCUCUAUUUGUGCUUUAGCGCCGAAGAAGAUGAAGGGCAGGGUCAUUAUUGUUCUGUUUUGCGGCUAAUGUCUUUAGGCGCUGAGAAGACGAAGAAUGGGGAUGGUCUUUGGGUGGAAAACGGAAAGUUGAGGGUGGUUGUUUGUGAGAUGGCCGCUUUGUUUUUGCUCAGCCAAAAUCCAUGAAAAUGGCUGCUUUGUUUUCAGAAGGAUACAGAUCAGUGGGGGGAGGGUCCUCUGUUGAAAACGGUGCCCAUGGUUAUUUGUAUAUAGGUCUA
rnacentral:lncRNA from 1 species